rnacentral:rRNA from 1 species
UACGUAGGUGGCAAGCGUUGUUCGGAUUUACUGGGCGUAAAGGGCGCGUAGGCGGUCGUGACAAGUCACUUGUGAAAUCUCCGGGCUUAACUCGGAACGGUCAAGUGAUACUGUCGGACUAGAGUACAGAAGGGGCAACUGGAAUUCUCGGUGUAGCGGUGAAAUGCGUAGAUAUCGAGAGGAACACCUGCGGCGAAGGCGGGUUGCUGGGCUGAUACUGACGCUGAGGCGCGAAAGCCAGGGGAGCGAACGGG